UACGUAGGGUGCAAGCGUUGUCCGGAAUUAUUGGGCGUAAAGAGCUCGUAGGCGGUCUGUCGCGUCUGCUGUGAAAACUCAGGGCUUAACCCUGAGCUUGCAGUGGGUACGGGCAGACUAGAGUGCGGUAGGGGAGACUGGAAUUCCGUGGUGUAGCGGUGAAAUGCGCAGACUAUCGAGGAGGAACACCGGUGGCGAAGGCGGGUCUCUGGGCCGAUACUGAC
rnacentral:rRNA from 1 species